rnacentral:rRNA from 1 species
UACGUAGGGUGCAGGCGUUAUCCGGAAUUAUUGGGCGUAAAGAGCUCGUAGGCGGUUUGUCGCGUCUGCUGUGAAAACUGGAGGCUCAACCUCCAGCCUGCAGUGGGUACGGGCAGACUAGAGUGCGGUAGGGGAGAUUGGAAUUCCUGGUGUAGCGGUGGAAUGCGCAGAUAUCAGGAGGAACACCGAUGGCGAAGGCAGAUCUCUGGGCCGUAACUGACGCUGAGGAGCGAAAGCAUGGGGAGCGAACAGG